CAAUGAAACUUCACGUGCCAAAAUUUAGUUCAUUGAUGCACAAGGGCCGAUCCGUUUCAGGAUGUUGUGCCUUAAACGUCUGCUCAGUGCUUAAUUCCUCUGCUCGUAUGCUUAAUUAUUUAAUUAGCUAAAUCAUAUCUUGUCAUAUCUUGAUCUUACAUUUCUGACGAUAUUAUUGUCAGAACCAUCUACAACCGCAGUACCUCUACAGCCCCAGACUGCAAGUGAAUAAAGAAUUUACUGUACUGUAAUUUAAGUACAGGAGUGAACCAGCAUUGUCGUGCAGAAAACAGCACGCAGGUCCGCCUUCUAGGACCAGAGUGCGCCCCCGUUUGGACCAAGUGCCACACGGAUGUAGCCAUUUUGAGUCGUACUUGAUGGUCCUGAGGGCGGAGCCAUCUCCCAUGCUGCGGUAAAUGACGGCAUCGCUGGCCAGAAAGUCUGCCACUGUAGCAGAGUACAGCUUCCCGUCUACAAGAGAUGCGCGGUGAAGGCCCCUCGGAGACCUGGGUGUCAGAACUUGGCUGGGUUUGAGGUGGUAAUGGGCUGAAAUACUGAGGGACCAGAGGAUGAGUGCAAUAGGACUGUGAGAUUCUCUUCUCCUUGCUGGUCACAUCAAACCAAUUUACGGAUGCAAGGGCAGGUGCGCCCCAGUCACGUGCACAGCUGGGAGACAGAGCCACAGUAAUGUUAUGAAUGUUUAACUCCGUCAGAUAAAUGCUCACUGUUAACUUUUGAAAGCGAU